rfam:Basidiobolus meristosporus CBS 931.73 K493scaffold_1315, whole genome shotgun sequence.
CUGGAGUGAUGCUUUUUGAAUUUCUUCACCUGAAAAUAAGAUGUGGUUUCAUUAACCGAGCUUUUUAACCCUGACCAUU